rnacentral:tRNA from 1 species
GGGGCACUAGUAAAACUAAUAUUACAAUGCUUUGUCAAGGCAUAAUUGUAGGUUAAACCCCUGCGUACCCCC